UCUAUAACCGGGUGUGGCUGCGGCCUCCGGGGGCGUAGGCGUCGAAACGAUGCCCUCUCUCUCGGGUGGUAGAGGUAAAACUCUCACGCGCCACAUGUCUGAAUCCUUUUUUUACGAGCACCUUUCGUUCUCCUUCGGUGGGGUGACCUGCCGUUGGAACCUAUUAUAACUCUUUUUGCAUCUAGCAUUACCUGUUCUGAUACAAACAAUCGUUA
rnacentral:misc_RNA from 1 species